GAUGAACGCUGGCGGCGUGCUUAACACAUGCAAGUCGAACGAAGCAGAUUGAGAUCUUCGGAAGGAUAUCUGACUGAGUGGCGGACGGGUGAGUAACGCGUGGGUAACCUGCCUCAUACAGGGGGAUAACAGUUAGAAAUGACUGCUAAUACCGCAUAAGCGCACAGUAUCGCAUGGUACAGUGUGAAAAACUCCGGUGGGAUGAGAUGGACCCGCGUCUGAUUAGCUAGUUGGUGGGGUAACGGCCUACCAAGGCGACGAUCAGUAGCCGACCUGAGAGGGUGACCGGCCACAUUGGGACUGAGACACGGCCCAAACUCCUACGGGAGGCAGCAGUGGGGAAUAUUGCACAAUGGGCGAAAGCCUGAUGCAGCGACGCCGCGUGAGUGAAGAAGUAUUUCGGUAUGUAAAGCUCUAUCAGCAGGGAAGAAAAUGACGGUACCUGACUAAGAAGCACCGGCUAAAUACGUGCCAGCCGCCGCCGUAAAAC
rnacentral:rRNA from 1 species